UGGGGAAUAUUGCACAAUGGGGGAAACCCUGAUGCAGCAACGCCGCGUGCGGGAUGACGGCCUUCGGGUUGUAAACCGCUUUCAGCCAUGACGAAGCUUUUGUGACGGUAGUGGCAGAAGAAGCACCGGCUAACUACGUGCCAGCAGCCGCGGUGAUACGUAGGGUGCGAGCGUUGUCCGGAAUUAUUGGUCGUAAAGAGCUUGUAGGCGGUUUGUCGCGUCGAAAGUGUAAACUCAGUGCUUAACGCUGAGCCUGCUUUCGAUACGGGCGGACUAGAGGAAGGUAGGGGAGAAUGGAAUUCCCGGUGGAGCGGUGGAAUGCGCAGAUAUCGGGAGGAACACCAGUGGCGAAGGCGGUUCUCUGGACCUUUCCUGACGCUGAGAAGCGAAAGCGUGGGUAGCAAACAGG
rnacentral:rRNA from 1 species